AUUGAACGCUAGCGGGAUGCUUUACACAUGCAAGUCGAACGGCAGCGCGGACUUCGGUCUGGCGGCGAGUGGCGAACGGGUGAGUAAUGUAUCGGAACGUGCCCAGUAGCGGGGGAUAACUACGCGAAAGCGUAGCUAAUACCGCAUACGCCCUACGGGGGAAAGCAGGGGAUCGUAAGACCUUGCACUAUUGGAGCGGCCGAUAUCGGAUUAGCUAGUUGGUGAGGUAACGGCUCACCAAAGCGACGAUCCGUAGCUGGUUUGAGAGGACGACCAGCCACACUGGGACUGAGACACGGCCCAGACUCCUACGGGAGGCAGCAGUGGGGAAUUUUGGACAAUGGGGGCAACCCUGAUCCAGCCAUCCCGCGUGUGCGAUGAAGGCCUUCGGGUUGUAAAGCACUUUUGGCAGGAAAGAAACGUCGCGGGCUAAUACCCCGUGGAACUGACGGUACCUGCAGAAUAAGCACCGGCUAACUACGUG
rnacentral:rRNA from 1 species